GCAAUUCAAUUUCUUUAAAUUCAACAAUGACGAAUGAUGAAGAUGGAAAAAAAAACACUUCGAAUACAAGUUCUUGGAAAGAUAAUUAAUCAGAAAAAACUUUCUACAUCAUUAUGAACUUUGACGAGUCUACGAGAUUGAGAAAAAAUAACCAAGGAAUUAGAGAUCCCAUAGAAACUUCUUUGCGUGGUAAAUAUGUUGGUUUGGGCUAUAAUGAUUCCCAUGUAAAUUCCUUGAAAGAGAAAGACCAAAAAGAAGAAGGGGACACGAAAGGAGAUGAUGCGGAAGAACAAGUUAAUCGAUUCAAUUCAAGGCUAUUUCUUUGAUUUUGAAUAAGUAUUGUUUGAGUUUUCUCCAUAGAUUUCUUAUUUUGAAGUAGAUGAUGAUGUUCAAGUAGAUAUUGCAACAUAUGGAAAAAUUAAAGGAGAAUCACUGCCACCAACAUCUCAAACCAUUAAAGUGGUGAGUGUAUCUAAAAUUUGAUUAAAAUGAUUAUAUGUUUCCGUUGAAAAUGUAUGUGUAUUGAAUACACGUUAUAGAGUACAAACAAAAAUGUUUUGCAAAAUAAAUAAAUCAUGCUAUAUUGAAAGAAAAUUUAAUUAGAAAAAUAUAAAAAACGAUAGAAAAAUAUAACACAAGUUCAUGAAAAUUUGUAGCAAUCUAGAAAAUUAUUAUCAAAAUUAAUGAAUAUUUAUAAUUCACAUACCUUAUAAAAUCGAUCAACUUUUAGAAUGCACAAACUAUACACAAAUUUCUCCUCCAAUAACCCACCCCGGCCCCUCAGUCUCUUCAAUUCAAAAAUGGCUAACAACCAAGAUAAAAGGAAAAAUUCAGGUAAAUACUUUAAAUUGAUUUGUUUUUAUUUUCACAAAAUCAUCUUCCCUUCUUUCUGAAGGCAAUAAAGUGUCUUGUAGUGCUUGCAAUACUAGAAUUUUAGGCUAGAUACUUGUUUUGAGAUAUGCAGACAUAAUAGUUUUUAAUAGUAAAUUAAAUAUUUUUAGAAAUUUCCAUUGCAAACCCGUAACGAGGGUGCUUUAAUAUAAUUGUGAACAUUAUUUCCAUUUUUACUGCUGAGAAGUGCUUCUUUUCUUUUACAAAAAAAAAACCACGUGUCAUUCUCUCAAUCCUAUUUAGCUAACCUGGAGGUCUGGGCUACAGAGACGAUGAGAAAGGUGUGGAAGAUCCAAAAGUAGAAGAGGUGAUGGUGAACAAGACGAAGAAGAACUGGUGAAGAAAUUCAAGGAAGAAGCUGCCGCUGUUGAUAAAGCAUAUCGUGAAUUGCUUCCACCAAUCUCUGGUUUAUCUCAUCCCUUACAGGGAACAAAGCCAACACCGAAAAAGAAUCCUGUGCCAAUUGCCAUUCUCGUAGAGUGUGACCAGAAAGAACAAGUUCUCUUUGAAGAGCAGCAGGUUAACCUCCUCGCCAUGUACUUUUGUUUGUGUUAAAAUCAGCAUCAUUUUGAUCAUUUUGUUUGUGUGGUCAGCUUGCCCUAGUUUCGUAUGACAGUGAAGAUGAAGAUUAGAUAACCUCAACCGACAACAACUUUCAGCUUUACAUAUUUUUUAACACUUCCACGAGGAAACUGUGUAACACAAAAACGUGUGGGUGGGGUUUACAAAAGAAGUAUAAAUACUCUUUGAUGUGAACUGAAAGCAGAUAGAUAGCUCAUUGACUUUUCUUUUAUGAAGAAUAUUCAGAUAAUUUUGACUUGAUUGUUUUGAAUCAUUUCAUCUGACUGUGUGCCAGAGUUGCAGUUGUUACUGGUUCGAACAGAGGGAUUGGGUUUGAGAUUUGCACGCAACUUGCUAAAAAGAUACAUCUUGGGCGUAGUAGACACAGACAACAACCCCCAAGUUUCCGUUUCAAUAUCAUAUACUUCUACCCAGUUCGAGGAAUCAGCAGUGACAUCAUCCCAGCACCCUCCAAACACAUAUAUCUUCUUCUUCCAGUCCUCUAUCAAGCUUGCCGAUGCUCCGCUCCGAGCCACAUUCAUGGGCGCAACUCGGCACACUUUAUGAUCAAUACAAUUCAAAAACGUGACUUCCUAUGUGGGUUUGCCGCCGUCCAUGAGUCCACCGAUGGUAUAGAUCCCCGAUUCCGUCGUCACGAAACAGGAUCCUUUUCAGCCGACGUUGCACGGGGUGGAAGACGAACCACCGUGGGCUUGGAUCUGGAUACAUGUGCAUUAAUACGUACACAUAUGCCUCGACGCUAUCCAUCUGAUACCUCAUGGUCCAGAGUUUACGGGACACUGCGAUAUACUGGUGUCUCCUAGAUACCUUAGCAAUGGCCACGAGGUCCAAUCUCGACAACUGAACCAGGCAGUCCACAAACACAUCAUCUGGCAGCGACAACUGAACCACUACAAGAAAUCAACGUCAAAGCCGAUGAAUUUUACCGACGACUUCUCUCCUCGGAAAGUUUACGACGGGUUUCUGAUCAAUUUCUGAGAACAUAUGAUUCUUGUCGGAAAAUUCUCGAAACUUUACUUUAAAUCAAUAUUCUCGGUAAUUUGUCCUAAAUCAAUGUCGGUACGUUGUCGGAAACAAAAUAAAAUUGCGAGGAGCUUGUUUUCUCGGAAAGUUCCAAGAAUAUGUUGUCGGUAUUUUCUCAGGCCAAUCAAAAUCCCGACGAUUAAUAUGCUUCUAGGUACGGCGUCAUAGAAACUGACAAACGUUCGUCGGAGUUCUCUUGGUUCGUCAUGUCGGCAAGUGAACUGUUUCCAACUUUACUUGAACAACGCAGUCAUCUGAUUCAGAUUGAAUAGUUUCAGAUUUUGUUUUAAUCAAGUAACAGUUAUGAAUCUGUAAGUAAACUCAUUUCAGCCAUGCAUUUGUAAACAUUAAUCGAUUUCGUUGUGAUCCCAAAUCUCUAUUUUCCCAGUUUGAUAUCUCUUGAUAUAUUCAAAGAUGAUACAAAAUUGUAACACGUGGUCAAACUAGAUGUGUCGUUUAGAAAAGAAGGGUCUGGAUGCAGAGCUAUAAACUUUUUGUGAAGAUAAUAAAAAGAAAAGGAAAAGAUAAUAUAACGCACUAUAUCUAAUAUUUCUAUCUUUCUGUUGCGCAACGGUGUAAAGCGAUAUCUUCACGAGCUUGUGGAGUUUACUUCCGGUCUCGGACUGGGAAUUUGAGGAGGUGGUGCUUCUGCUGGUGCUGAUUCUUCCAAUUUGGUCCCGAUUUGUUUUCUCUUUGAACUGACACCACCGACCUUGCACCGCCACCAUCACCACCUAAACUCCCUCCACCUCCACCAUCACGGCGACCUUCGCACUCUACACCACACCGCCACAUCUCAACGACUAUUAGAUUAUAAGUUUUAUUUUUGUUUUCGUUUAAUUUUAUAGAACUUUUUUAAUUUCUUUAUUUGUAAUAUAUAUUUGAUAAUUUAAAUAUUAUUGUGAGUUUUAUUUGUA